rnacentral:lncRNA from 1 species
CUUUUUUUCAAUUUUUUUGGUUUAAGUAAGUUGAAUGCUUUGUUUCUCACUCUUCUCGAUGAAUUUUGAAGGUGGAAAGCUUUAGACUUUGCCGCUCUCAAGGUAAGCUCGGUGUCAUUCUUCGACGAUGAAAAGACAGAAACCGCUACCUCCCGUUGGUCCCGGGCUAGGACGAGAGCUGCAAAGGUAAAUUCUUGGUAUUAGUAUGCUUCAUUAGUUGUGGUUUAGAACAAUAAUGAUGUUCUCUAACUUGUUCAGCUUGGGAAAGGUUUAUCAAAGGAUGAGAAUGCUCAAAAAUUAGCUCUUCAACACUGGCUUGAAGCAGUAAGUUCAUAUAGUUCAAACUUUUAGAGGUUAGAGAAGAGGAUGUUGACCGUUUUAUUGAACUUCUUUUGGCCAGAUUGAUCCCCGCCACCGCUAUGGACAUAACUUGCAUUUUUACUAUGAUGUUUGGUUUGAUAGCAAGAGCACACAACCUUUCUUCUACUGGUAAUUUCCCCAAUCACAUUGCUGGUAUCAUUACACCGAAAGCUUUCAUUCUUAUCCUUCAAGCUUCCUUUUAAAAGGUUGGAUAUUGGUGAUGGGAAGAGGGUUAAUCUUGAGAAGUGCCGUAGAUCAGUUCUGUAUAAGCAAUGCAUCAAGUACCUUGGACCGGUAAGUCGCCUGAUUAGAUUGUAGUUUCUACUCCAUUACGAGCAGUAAGCAAUUGUUUCUAUUCAUUUCUGUUGCAGAAAGAAAGGGAGGAGUACCUGGUGAUUGUGGAGAAUGGGAGGCUUGUUUACAAGCAAAGCAGAAUACCCAUCACCACAGUUGAAGAUUCCAAGUGGAUUUUUGUACUCAGCACGUCAAGAGAUCUGUAUGUGGGACAGAAGAAGAAAGGUCGCUUUCAACACUCCAG